UUCAGAAUCUUGCACAAUGGGCGAAAGCCUGAUGCAGCGAUGCCGCGUGUGCGAAGAAGGUCUUCGGAUCGUAAAGCACUGUCAGAGGGGACGAUAAUGACGGUACCCUCAGAGGAAGCCACGGCUAAUUACGUGCCAGCAGCCGCGGUAAUACGUAAGUGGCGAGCGUUAUCCGGAAUCACUGGGCGUAAAGCGUUCGUAGGCGGUGCGGAAAGUCGGAAUUGAAAUCCCGGGGCUCAACUCCGGACCCGGUUCCGAAACUUCCGUGCUUGAGCGUAUCAGAGGGCAGCGGAAUUCCCGGUGUAGCGGUAAUAUGCGUAGAUAUCGGGAGGAACACCAGUGGCGAAGGCGGCUGCCUGGGGUAUUGCUGACGCUGAGGAACGAAAGCCAGGGGAGCGAACGGG
rnacentral:rRNA from 1 species